GGGCAUAGUUUAGUGGUAAAACCCUAGCCUUCCAAGCUCGUGAUAGGGGUUCGAUUCCCCUUGCCC
rnacentral:tRNA from 1 species